rnacentral:rRNA from 1 species
UACGGAGGGUGCAAGCGUUACUCGGAAUCACUGGGCGUAAAGAGCGCGUAGGCGGAAUAGCAAGUCAGAUGUGAAAUCCUAUGGCUUAACCAUAGAACUGCAUUUGAAACUGUUAUUCUAGAGUAUGGGAGAGGUAGGUGGAAUUCUUGGUGUAGGGGUAAAAUCCGUAGAGAUCAAGAGGAAUACUCAUUGCGAAGGCGACCUGCUGGAACAUAACUGACGCUAAGGCGCGAAAGCGUGGGGAGCAAACAGG